CUGCGGAGGGAUCAUUACCGAGUUUACAACUCCCAAACCCCUGUGAACAUACCUUAUUGUUGCCUCGGCGGAUCAGCCCGCUCCCCGUAAAACGGGACGGCCCGCCAGAGGAAAACCAAACUCUAUUGUAUCAUCUGUAUCUUCUGAGUAACAAAAACAAAUAAAUCAAAACUUUCAACAACGGAUCUCUUGGUUCUGGCAUCGAUGAAGAACGCAGCAAAAUGCGAUAAGUAAUGUGAAUUGCAGAAUUCAGUGAAUCAUCGAAUCUUUGAACGCACAUUGCGCCCGCCAGUAUUCUGGCGGGCAUGCCUGUUCGAGCGUCAUUUCAACCCUCAAACCCCCGGGUUUGGUGUUGGGGAUCGGAUUGCUAGUCAGUCCGUCUCCGAAAUCUAGUGGCGGUCUCGCUGCAGCCUCCAUUGCGUAGUAGAAAUAUCUCGCAAUCGGAACGCGGCGCGGCCAUGCCGUUAAACAACCCAACUUCUGAAUGUUGACCUCGGAUCA
rnacentral:rRNA from 1 species